rnacentral:rRNA from 1 species
UACGAAGGGGGCUAGCGUUGCUCGGAAUCACUGGGCGUAAAGCGCACGUAGGCGGAUUGUUAAGUCAGGGGUGAAAUCCUGGAGCUCAACUCCAGAACUGCCUUUGAUACUGGCGAUCUUGAGUCCGGGAGAGGUGAGUGGAACUGCGAGUGUAGAGGUGAAAUUCGUAGAUAUUCGCAAGAACACCAGUGGCGAAGGCGGCUCACUGGCCCGGUACUGACGCUGAGGUGCGAAAGCGUGGGGAGCAAACAAGG